rnacentral:rRNA from 1 species
GACGAACGCUGGCGGCGUGCUUAACACAUGCAAGUCGAACGGAAAGGCCCUGCUUGCAGGGUACUCGAGUGGCGAACGGGUGAGUAACACGUGGGUGAUCUGCCCUGCACUUCGGGAUAAGCCUGGGCAACUGGGUCUAAUACCGGAUAGGAGCCAUUUUUAGUGGGAUGGUUGGAAAGUUUUUUCGGUGUAGGAUGAGCUCGCGGCCUAUCAGCUUGUUGGUGGGGUAAUGGCCUACCAAGGCGGCGACGGGUAGCCGGCCUGAGAGGGUGGACGGCCACACUGGGACUGAGAGACGGCCCAGACUCCGACGGGAGGCAGCAGUGGGGAAUAUUGCACAAUGGGCGCAAGCCUGAUGCAGCGACGCCGCGUGGGGGAUGACGGCCUUCGGGUUGUAAACUCCUUUCGCUAGGGACGAAGCUUUUUGUGACGGUACCUAGAUAAGAAGCACCGGCUAACUACGUG